AUGCUUGUUUUGGCAGCAUGUAUACUAAACUGGACCAUUACAGAGAGGAUUAGCAUGGCCCCUGUGCAAGGAAGGCUCUUCUGGAAGAGUUCCAUGUUUUG
rnacentral:snRNA from 1 species